rnacentral:tRNA from 1 species
GUCUCCAUAGUGUAGUGGUUAGCACGUCUGCUUUAUAUGCAGAAGGUUUGUGCCCCAAGUGGAGCCA